rnacentral:rRNA from 1 species
UACAGAGGGUGCAAGCGUUAAUCGAAAUUACUGGGCGUAAAGCGUGCGUAGACGGUUAUGUAAGUCAGAUGUGAAAGCCCCGGGCUCAACCUGGGAAUUGCAUUUGAGACUGCAUAGCUAGGGUGCGGAAGAGGGAAGCGGAAUUUCCGGUGUAGCGGUGAAAUGCGUAGAUAUCGGAAGGAACACCAGUGGCGAAAGCGGCUUCCUGGUCCAGCACCGACGUUCAGGCACGAAAGCGUGGGGAGCAAACAGG